GGAGGAGGAGGAAGAGGAGGAUGGAGGAGGAGGAGGCACCAGGGAUGUGUCGGCCUCACGGGUGUUGAUGUCCCUGCUCAAAGGGAAGAGCAGGGGCUCAACAAUUAGGAAAAUUACGUUUGGGACCUCCAUGGACACUUACCUGGAGGAGUACGGGGCCUACCUUUUCUGCCCGGAAGGGACCCCCCAAAUGGUUCAAAACAGCG